rnacentral:rRNA from 1 species
UUAAGCGACUAAGCGUACACGGUGGAUGCCCUGGCAGUCAGAGGCGAUGAAGGGCGUGCUAAUCUGCGAUAAGCGCCGGUAAGGUGAUAUGAACCGUUAUAACCGGCGAUACCCGAAUGGGGAAACCCAGUGUGAUUCGUCACACUAUCAUUAACUGAAUCCAUAGGUUAAUGAGGCGAACCGGGGGAACUGAAACAUCUAAGUACCCCGAGGAAAAGAAAUCAACCGAGAUUCCCCCAGUAGCGGCGAGCGAACGGGGAGGAGCCCAGAGCCUGAAUCAGCAUGUGUGUUAGUGGAAGCGUCUGGAAAGGCGCGCGAUACAGGGUGACAGCCCCGUACACAAAAGCGCAUGUGCUGUGAGCUCGAUGAGUAGGGCGGGACACGUGGUAUCCUGUCUGAAUAUGGGGGGACCAUCCUCCAAGGCUAAAUACUCCUGACUGACCGAUAGUGAACCAGUACCGUGAGGGAAAGGCGAAAAGAACCCCGGCGAGGGGAGUGAAAAAGAACCUGAAACCGUGUACGUACAAGCAGUGGGAGCACNNNNNNNNNNGUGUGACUGCGUACCUUUUGUAUAAUGGGUCAGCGACUUAUAUUCUGUAGCAAGGUUAACCGUAUAGGGGAGCCGGAGGGAAACCGAGUCUUAACCGGGCGUUAAGUUGCAGGGUAUAGACCCGAAACCCGGUGAUCUAGCCAUGGGCAGGUUGAAGGUUGGGUAACACUAACUGGAGGACCGAACCGACUAAUGUUGAAAAAUUAGCGGAUGACCUGUGGCUGGGGGUGAAAGGCCAAUCAAACCGGGAGAUAGCUGGUUCUCCCCGAAAGCUAUUUAGGUAGCGCCUCGUGAAUUCAUCUCCGGGGGUAGAGCACUGUUUCGGCUAGGGGGCCAUCCCGGCUUACCAACCCGAUGCAAACUGCGAAUACCGGAGAAUGUUAUCACGGGAGACACACGGCGGGUGCUAACGUCCGUCGUGAAGAGGGAAACAACCCAGACCGCCAGCUAAGGUCCCAAAGUCAUGGUUAAGUGGGAAACGAUGUGGGAAGGCCCAGACAGCCAGGAUGUUGGCUUAGAAGCAGCCAUCAUUUAAAGAAAGCGUAAUAGCUCACUGGUCGAGUCGGCCUGCGCGGAAGAUGUAACGGGGCUAAACCAUGCACCGAAGCUGCGGCAGCGAACGUAUCACCCAAGACAACUUUACGGAGUUGACGAUUGACGGAGCGAAGCGACGUCAAAGCGUUCAUUAAAGUCGAGUUGGCUUAGGGAUACGUUCGUUGGGUAGGGGAGCGUUCUGUAAGCCUGUGAAGGUGUGUCGUGAGGCAUGCUGGAGGUAUCAGAAGUGCGAAUGCUGACAUAAGUAACGAUAAAGCGGGUGAAAAGCCCGCUCGCCGGAAGACCAAGGGUUCCUGUCCAACGUUAAUCGGGGCAGGGUGAGUCGACCCCUAAGGCGAGGCCGAAAGGCGUAGUCGAUGGGAAACGGGUUAAUAUUCCCGUACUUGGUGUUACUGCGAAGGGGGGACGGAGAAGGCUAUGUUGGCCGGGCGACGGUUGUCCCGGUUUAAGCGUGUAGGUGUGUGUUCCAGGUAAAUCCGGUUCACUUUAACACUGAGGCGUGACGACGAGGCACUACGGUGCUGAAGCAACAAAUGCCCUGCUUCCAGGAAAAGCCUCUAAGCAUCAGGUAACACGAAAUCGUACCCCAAACCGACACAGGUGGUCAGGUAGAGAAUACCAAGGCGCUUGAGAGAACUCGGGUGAAGGAACUAGGCAAAAUGGUGCCGUAACUUCGGGAGAAGGCACGCUGACACGUAGGUGAAGUGAUUUACUCAUGGAGCUGAAGUCAGUCGAAGAUACCAGCUGGCUGCAACUGUUUAUUAAAAACACAGCACUGUGCAAACACGAAAGUGGACGUAUACGGUGUGACGCCUGCCCGGUGCCGGAAGGUUAAUUGAUGGGGUCAGCGCAAGCGAAGCUCCUGAUCGAAGCCCCGGUAAACGGCGGCCGUAACUAUAACGGUCCUAAGGUAGCGAAAUUCCUUGUCGGGUAAGUUCCGACCUGCACGAAUGGCGUAAUGAUGGCCAGGCUGUCUCCACCCGAGACUCAGUGAAAUUGAACUCGCUGUGAAGAUGCAGUGUACCCGCGGCAAGACGGAAAGACCCCGUGAACCUUUACUAUAGCUUGACACUGAACAUUGAGCCUUGAUGUGUAGGAUAGGUGGGAGGCUUUGAAGUGUGGACGCCAGUCUGCAUGGAGCCGACCUUGAAAUACCACCCUUUAAUGUUUGAUGUUCUAACGUGGACCCGUAAUCCGGGUUGCGGACAGUGUCUGGUGGGUAGUUUGACUGGGGCGGUCUCCUCCUAAAGAGUAACGGAGGAGCACGAAGGUUGGCUAAUCCUGGUCGGACAUCAGGAGGUUAGUGCAAUGGCAUAAGCCAGCUUGACUGCGAGCGUGACGGCGCGAGCAGGUGCGAAAGCAGGUCAUAGUGAUCCGGUGGUUCUGAAUGGAAGGGCCAUCGCUCAACGGAUAAAAGGUACUCCGGGGAUAACAGGCUGAUACCGCCCAAGAGUUCAUAUCGACGGCGGUGUUUGGCACCUCGAUGUCGGCUCAUCACAUCCUGGGGCUGAAGUAGGUCCCAAGGGUAUGGCUGUUCGCCAUUUAAAGUGGUACGCGAGCUGGGUUUAGAACGUCGUGAGACAGUUCGGUCCCUAUCUGCCGUGGGCGCUGGAGAACUGAGGGGGGCUGCUCCUAGUACGAGAGGACCGGAGUGGACGCAUCACUGGUGUUCGGGUUGUCAUGCCAAUGGCACUGCCCGGUAGCUAAAUGCGGAAGAGAUAAGUGCUGAAAGCAUCUAAGCACGAAACUUGCCCCGAGAUGAGUUCUCCCUGAGACUUAGAGUCUCCUGAAGGAACGUUGAAGACGACGACGUUGAUAGGCCGGGUGUGUAAGCGCAGCGAUGCGUUGAGCUAACCGGUACUAAUGAACCGUGAGGCUUAACCUU